GCCUGCGUCGGGUCAGGUAGCGGUUGAAGUGGAAUUCUUUCUCCAGCUCGAGAGCCUGCUGGCGGGUGUAGGCAGUGCGAGACCUCUUGGGCACUCCUCCAUUAUCUGGCCUCCAGAACGCAUGUAGCCAAGACCACCUGAGAGCCUAUCUAUCAAGAUAAUAUCCAAGGAAGGCCCCCAACAGAGCUCCUUGCAUAUUCAACACACCUUUAGAGGAAAAUGGAAGCUGGCUGCGGAUGACACUGAACUUGGCCUAAAGCGAGCUCUGCUGGUGGCUCCGGGAGGAUGCAGAUUUAUCUUUCUGCUAUGGCUGACCUCGCGGUGAACCGCGCGCUGGGGACGGUUCUUUUUUUCUGCCUGGCAUUGUCUGCCUUGCUGUGCAACGCAUAAGGGACCCCGAUUUGGACAUUUUAAUUGUGUAACAAUGGUGUAAAUUUCUCCCCAGACGUCACAAUGAUAAUGGCAUAGAAUAAUGGUUUUACUUAUAUUUUCUACACCACAAACUGUAAUGGAAAUAAAGUUACAUUUCGUUGCAUUGGC